UGAUGUUGAUGAGGGCAGCUCAUCAACAUCGAUUUAAAACUGUCCCAAGCUUGGUAUAAUUUUUCUCCACCUUUUUGUCUAAAACUUAAGAUAUCACUCUUCAAUUU